ACAUCAUUUUGCAUCAAACAGCAGUUCUGUGGCAGCUGCCAUUCUUGUGCCUUUCAUAGCCCUGAUUAUUGCAGGGUUUGUGCUCUAUCUCUACAAACACAGGAGAAGACCAAAAGUACCAUUCAACGGUUAUGCCGGCCAUGAAAACACCAACGUCCGGGCGACGUUUGAAAACCCGAUGUAUGACCGAAACCUACAACCCACAGACAUCGUGGCCAACGAGGCGGAUUUCACUGUCAGCACCGUGUGCACGGCGGUAUAGCAUUCAUCCUCUCGUGCGAAUUCUCCACGGGCAGGUGUCCUGUUGAUGAUUGUGUUUCACCUCACUAGUCCUCGGUCAUUAUCUUCCCUCCCCCAGUCAUGCUGAGGCUGUGGAGAAGCUGCUGCUCCAUUCUUGGACUUUGAGUUACUCCAGAGAGAGCCUGCUAGGCUGUCUUCCAUCCUCCUCAUCUUCACCAACCCACCACAUCUUGCAGUGGAUAAUCAAGCCAACCAAAGUGUCUCCUCCAGCACAGCUCGGGAGAACCUCUCCUUUUCCCCUCCACUGAGCCACUUCCAGUUCCUCCUGGCCAACUCCAAGAUUGCAGAGUUGCUGCUCAGAAAUCAGACCGCGCCCAGCUGCUGAGCCUUAGAAGGCAGGUGAUCGCCUUCUAAAUUGCCUUGCCAACCUGCUGUUCAUUAUCUCAAGAGAAGCAGUUAAUGCCAGCUGAGUGCUUUUCUAGCAGUGGAAACAGCUGUUGGGGGCUUCUGUGAAACCAAC
rnacentral:lncRNA from 1 species